rnacentral:rRNA from 1 species
GAUGAACGCUGGCGGCGUGCCUAAUACAUGCAAGUCGAGCGAACAGACGAGGAGCUUGCUCCUCUGACGUUAGCGGCGGACGGGUGAGUAACACGUGGAUAACCUACCUAUAAGACUGGGAUAACUUCGGGAAACCGGAGCUAAUACCGGAUAAUAUAUUGAACCGCAUGGUUCAAUAGUGAAAGACGGUUUUGCUGUCACUUAUAGAUGGAUCCGCGCCGCAUUAGCUAGUUGGUAAGGUAACGGCUUACCAAGGCAACGAUGCGUAGCCGACCUGAGAGGGUGAUCGGCCACACUGGAACUGAGACACGGUCCAGACUCCUACGGGAGGCAGCAGUAGGGAAUCUUCCGCAAUGGGCGAAAGCCUGACGGAGCAACGCCGCGUGAGUGAUGAAGGUCUUCGGGUCGUAAAACUCUGUUAUUAGGGAAGAAAAAAUGUGUAAGUAACUAUGCCCGUCUUGACGGUACCUAAUCAGAAAGCCACGGCUAACUACGUG